GAUGAAGAACGUAGCGAAAUGCGAUAAGUAAUGUGAAUUGCAGAAUUCAGUGAAUCAUCGAAUCUUUGAACGCACAUUGCUCCCGCCAGUAUUCUGGCGGGCAUGCCUGUUCGAGCGUCAUUUCAACCCUCAGGCCCCCAGUGCCUGGUGUUGGGGAUCGGCCCAGCCUUCCUGUAAGGCCGCCGGCCCCGAAAUCUAGUGGCGGUCUCGCUGUAGUCCUCCUCUGCGUAGUAGCACAACCUCGCAGUUGGAACGCGGCGGUGGCCAUGCCGUUAAACACCCCACUUCUGAAAGUUGACCUCGGAUCAGGUAGGAAUACCCGCUGAACUUAAGCAUAUCAAUAAGCGGAGGA
rnacentral:misc_RNA from 1 species